GGAGAGGACCCGAGCGGCGUUCGACACCGCAUCGACGCCAAAGAGGAGGGGGGGCCGCCCUCGCACAUCUGGCACGUGGCCAACGCCUUUGACGACGUGCGGGAAGCGGGCGACGUCUUCGUCUUCGACGCCUC
rnacentral:SRP_RNA from 1 species